GACGAACGUUGGCGGCGUGCUUAACACAUGCAAGUCGAACGGAAAGGCCCUGCUUUUGUGGGGUGCUCGAGUGGCGAACGGGUGAGUAACACGUGAGUAACCUGCCCUUGACUUUGGGAUAACUUCAGGAAACUGGGGCUAAUACCGGAUAGGAGCUCCUGCUGCAUGGUGGGGGUUGGAAAGUUUCGGCGGUUGGGGAUGGACUCGCGGCUUAUCAGCUUGUUGGUGGGGUAGUGGCUUACCAAGGCUUUGACGGGUAGCCGGCCUGAGAGGGUGACCGGCCACAUUGGGACUGAGAUACGGCCCAGACUCCUACGGGAGGCGGCAGUGGGGAAUAUUGCACAAUGGGCGGAAGCCUGAUGCAGCAACGCCGCGUGCGGGAUGACGGCCUUCGGGUUGUAAACCGCUUUCGCCUGUGACGAAGCGUGAGUGACGGUAAUGGGUAAAGAAGCACCGGCUAACUACGUGCCAGCAGCCGCGGUGAUACGUAGGGUGCGAGCGUUGUCCGGAUUUAUUGGGCGUAAAGGGCUCGUAGGUGGUUGAUCGCGUCGGAAGUGUAAUCUUGGGGCUUAACCCUGAGCGUGCUUUCGAUACGGGUUGACUUGAGGAAGGUAGGGGAGAAUGGAAUUCCUGGUGGAGCGGUGGAAUGCGCAGAUAUCAGGAGGAACACCAGUGGCGAAGGCGGUUCUCUGGGCCUUUCCUGACGCUGAGGAGCGAAAGCGUGGGGAGCGAACAGGCUUAGAUACCCUGGUAGUCCACGCUGUAAACGGUGGGUACUAGGUGUGGGGUCCAUUCCACGGGUUCCGUGCCGUAGCUAACGCUUUAAGUACCCCGCCUGGGGAGUACGGCCGCAAGGCUAAAACUCAAAGGAAUUGACGGGGCCCCGCACAAGCGGCGGAGCAUGCGGAUUAAUUCGAUGCAACGCGUAGAACCUUACCUGGGUUUGACAUGGAUCGGGAGUGCUCAGAGAUGGGUGUGCCUCUUUUGGGGUCGGUUCACAGGUGGUGCAUGCCUGUCGUCAGCUCGUGUCGUGAGAUGUUGGGUUAAGUCCCGCAACGAGCGCAACCCUUGUUCACUGUUGCCAGCACGUUAUGGUGGGGACUCAGUGGAGACCGCCGGGGUCAACUCGGAGGAAGGUGGGGAUGACGUCAAGUCAUCAUGCCCCUUAUGUCCAGGGCUUCACGCAUGCUACAAUGGCUGGUACAGAGAGUGGCGAGCCUGUGAGGGUGAGCGAAUCUCGGAAAGCCGGUCUCAGUUCGGAUUGGGGUCUGCAACUCGACCUCAUGAAGUCGGAGUUGCUAGUAAUCGCAGAUCAGCAACGCUGCGGUGAAUACGUUCCCGGG
rnacentral:rRNA from 1 species